GUGAAUCAUCAAAUUUUUGAACGCAAAUUGCACUCUCUGGUAUUCCGGAGAGUAUGCCUAUUUGAGGGUCAUUUGAAUUAAUAUAGAUUCCGAGAUUUCUCGGCAUUUAAAAUGGGUUGUCCAUUUUUUGUGGUCGCCUAAAAUCCAAGCCAAGCACAUUUUCUUGGGUUGCAUGAUACUUUCAGUUACCUCGCGACUUAAACAUGAAUCAUAGGGAGCUUUAUGAGUUUUGCCCGAGAUAAAAAAUUCCAUAGAUUUAUCUCAUGCGAACUA
rnacentral:misc_RNA from 1 species